UACGUAGGGUCCGAGCGUUGUCUGGAAUUAUUGGGCGUAAAGAGCUCGUAGGCGGUUUGUCGCGUCUGCUGUGAAAUCCCGAGGCUCAACCUCGGGUCUGCAGUGGGUACGGGCAGACUGGAGUGCGGUAGGGGAGAAUGGAAUUCCUGGUGUAGCGGUGGAAUGCGCAGAUAUCAGGAGGAACACCGAUGGCGAAGGCAGUUCUCUGGGCCGUAACUGGCGCUGAGGAGCGAAAGCGUGGGGAGCGAACAGG
rnacentral:rRNA from 1 species